CACAAUAAUAUAAACAAAGAUUAAACUGCUAAACUAACUUAGACUUGUCAUAUAUUGCUGCUCUCUGGUGAUUUUAAGUGCUUCUUUUAUUCUUAUUAAGUUGCUUUGGAUAAAAAUAAUGUCUGCUAAAUGAAUAAAUGGGAAUAUAAAAUAAACCUGAAAAAGCCUACAUGAAAAUUCUUUCACUGAGCCAUAUUUUCACAGAGCUUUCGCGAUGAGGGUUCAACUGACUUCACUUCACACUUAUGUUUAACAGCUUCAUACAGUAUAUCCUCACAUCAGCAAACCCACAGAGAAAAGGCAGUUGUCGGAGUGCACUGAUACUUUAAAAUACAAAUAACAGAAAAUAACAAUUGCCAAGCAAUGUAUCUCACCAUUAUCAUUGGAUCCUUCAUGAUUCUCUUAGGUAAGAUACUGGACAAACAAUAUUAACUUGUGUGAUUUGUUCAACCUUGAGCAAUAUGUUUUGUUGUAUUGUUAAAUUUAUAUUUCAUGCAGCUGCUGCUGCUGAGAGACAAUUUGAGAUGAAACAAGCCGUCACCAUUCAGGACAACAAGAAAGAUGUGUGCAAUCCUUCCAAGGAUGCCAUAAAAUGCUGUAUAUGUUUGGAAGCCAUAAACCAAUAUUUACCCCAGAUAAUUGCUCAGGUUAACCAGAAAAUCAGAGCUGCAUGCAAUGUCAACAGGUUUCUGAGGAAACUAUGUUUAAAGAUCGCCACAAAGAUAAAAAUGAAAGUUUUAAGAAAAUUUUUCCCAAGAGGUCCUCUACAAUUCUGCAAGAGGUAUAAAAUGUGCAAGUAAAAGACAACUGUAAACAGUCCAUUAAAACAUCAACUCUUUAAGUAGGAUUGUUUACUUGUUUGUUUUGGUAAAAGCAUGAGAUGAAAAUGCCUCCCCUGGUUUCUGUAAACUUCAUUAUACACUGGACAAAUCCUUAGAUCAGAAAAUGCAUUCAGUCAAAAAUGCUUUUAAAAUGUUCUGAAAGAUGUAUGUUUAUCAUGUUUUGGAAGAUUUUGUUUUUGUUGUUUCUCAUUUACUGCUCAUUAAAAAUCUAAUCAUUUUUAUGUGAAGACAUUUGUUUCUGUCAAUAAAGUUGUCAUAUCUCCCUUAAAAAUAAAAACUCUGCCAUAAUGUACUC
rnacentral:lncRNA from 1 species